UUGACAAUCUGAUUGUGAAGGCAUACUUUCAGGAGUGAGGGUAGAGCGGGGUUUCCCCCGCCCUGGUAGUCUUAGUAUGCUGGCCAGCUAAUCACUAAGAGCACCACGAUGAUGAUCCACUUCAUCAUGACCCUUUCCUUAUU
rnacentral:sRNA from 3 species